ACUGGUUUGACACCUCUUUGUCAACAUCUUGUUGCUUAAGUUCCUGUGGAUGUUGCCCACAUGGUGCUUUUUGGUUCCAAGUUUGGAUUUGUCCCUGCUACUGGUUCCAUAUAGAGAAAAAGAAAAGGGGAAAAAAAUCCUUGUAACAAAUAUACAGUCUCAUUCUGCUGCCUGAUUCAAUCUCCUCUAUCAGAAGGAAAAACCAGGACACAGGUGAAGUGACUUGUCCAGAACCCAUUCAGUGGAAAGAGUGGGUGAUUUGAUCCCAUAUAUUGCCAACUCAAAAGUUCAACACCUGAUUCACUGCUCUAUCUCACUGACUGGGUAUUAUUUCUAGGAGACUCCAAUUCCUUUACUUUACUGGACUCCGACUGCCCAGGAUUUAAAGUCGCUUUCAAAACUCCCUAUUAAAACAAUUCACUUAGUUUUCUGGUAAUACCGACUCUUAUCUUUUUUGGGCAAGAUGGAAAAAAGUGCACUAUGUGAAAUGGGGAAAAUGUGAUUGGAGGAUGUCAUUCCAGAGAACCUCUAGUGCCAUGUCCCAAGAACUUGUGCCCUGAGUUUAACACAUAACUGAUGAUUUGAGAAAGGGCCCAGAUGACAUACUAAUAACAAAAGUGCAUUAUGACCCAAAGUUGGAAGGGACAGUCCAAGUCCCUUGGUAAAGUCAAGGAGCCAAAAUAUACCAUCAAAUCUAAUAGAGAAAUGUUAUCAAUUUUUAUUUUAAAAAUAAAAAUACCAAUCAAAAGUAUAGGAGACACUUUUCCUUAUGAAUCUCUAUCUUAGUCAGACUACAACUAGAGUAUAAUGCUUAUUUUGGGAUACAUUUUAAUGGAAUGAACAAAGAAUAAUCAAUGCCCUGGCCAAUUUAUAACCUGGGGCAAUGAAUUCUGGUGAUAGCAUUUAGAAGCCAAAAGGCCCUUUAGACAGCCAAUCCAGCUUCCUUGUUUUUACAGAUAAGGAAAUAAAUAUGGAAACUUGGACUGGAAACAAAAAUCACAAAGGAAAGGAAGUUUUGGUUUCACUCUAAACCUGAUGUCUUCCUCUACCCUUUCCUCCUCCCACUAUUAACACAAAGCCUCACUAGAAAGGUUUUCUGAAGGACUUUUGGAUUGCCAAAGAUAGUUUAGACAAGUUCCCUGACAUUCUUUCUGAAAUGCUGGAGUUUUACACAAGAAUGCACACAUCAUUCAAGAGCUUAGAUGUUUCUAGCUCUAAUUGUCUUUGUAAGAACCCUCAGAAAAUCACCACAUUCAACUUGUUUCAAUUAAAGUAGUCUAUUAGUUUUGAACUAAAGGCUUUCUACUUCUUAAGGGAAUGUAUAC
rnacentral:lncRNA from 1 species